UCACUAAUCUGGAACUGCCGGGGGGCGGGGAACCCCCAGACAGUUCGUGAAGUGUUGGCCUUCUCAAAAGCCAAUAUCGCCACGCUUGUAUUCCUUUGUGAGACAAGACGCAGCGAUAAGAUUGAGAAGUUAAGAUGGAGGCUUGGUUUGAAGGGUUUUUGUGGUGUGAACAACUCUGGUUUGAGUGGUGGACUUGCAUUGUAUUGGGAUGAGUCUUUGAUAGUUACCGUGUUGGAUUCUUGUCAGCGGUAUAUUAAUGUUUCUAUGGAAGAUAGAGGUGCAGAUAAAAAGUGGCGGAUGACAUUUGUGUAUGGCGAGCCAAGAGUUGAGAAUAGAUACAAAAUGUGGGAUCAUUUAACAAGGCUGAGAGGGGUCUCGCAAGAACAAUGA
rnacentral:rRNA from 1 species